UAUGUUGUUGUAAGCGCGCACGUAUAAGA
rnacentral:sRNA from 1 species